rnacentral:rRNA from 1 species
ACCAUGGAAGUCGGGGGCGCCCGAAGUCGGCCGAGAAAUAGGCUGCCUAAGGUGAAACCGAUGACUGGGGUGAAGUCGUAACAAGGUAGCCGUAGGAGAACCUGCGGCUGGAUCACCUCCUUUCUAAGGAG